AUAUGUGAAGCCAUUCCCUGUUUAUACGCAAUUCUUUUUAUGGAUUGUCCCACUUAUAUUGUAUUCGUCUGUUGUAUUGUUUUUGUUUCGUUAUUUUUUGUUCUUGUUUUCUUUAUUUUAUUGUUUGUUCCUUUAUCUGUAGAAGUAAGUAUUAAUAUUUCUAUAAUUUAGUACUGUUAUAUGUUUAAAUACAUGAAAUAUUGAUAAAAGUUUAUUGUUUGUGUAGUUAUCCAAGAUGUGGAAUUUGUUGAUAUCACUCUACUUUCAAGUGAUCGAUUCGAAUUCAGAAUUAAAGAUCUUGAACAUGCUUCAAAUUCAGAAAAGUACAAAGGACGGAAUGAGUUGUAACAAGUUCUUUAUUUUCAAUAAGAUGUUUAUUAUAAAACUAAUAAACUACGUCAUUAUCCAGAUAAUGGUAUUCACCCAACUUAGUUAUAGUUACAGAAGUCAUUUCAACUCGGAUCCUUCAAGCUUAAACACAAAUAUCACAAGAUAAAUAUAAAAAUUUAAAGUUAUCCAAGAUGUGGAAUUUGUUGAUAUCACUCUACUUUCAAGUGAUCGAUUCGAAUUCAGAAUUAAAGAUCUUGAACAUGCUUCAAAUUCAGAAAAGUACAAAGGACGGAAUGAGUUGUAACAAGUUCUUUAUUUUCAAUAAGAUGUUUAUUAUAAAAGUAA